rnacentral:rRNA from 1 species
CGCGUAGGCGGGUGGGAAAGUCUGGUGUGAAAGCCCGGGGCUCAACCCCGGAAGUGCACUGGAAACUUCUCAUCUUGAGUUCGGGAGGGGAGGGCAGAAUUCCCGGUGUAGGAGUGAAAUCCGUAGAGAUCGGGAGGAAAAUCAGUGGCGAAGGCGGCCCUCUGGAACGAAACUGACGCUGAGGCGCGAAAGCGUGGGGAGCAAACA